rnacentral:rRNA from 1 species
UACGGGGGGGGCAAGCGUUGUCCGGAUUUACUGGGCGUAAAGAGCGCGCAGGCGGUCGUUCAAGUCGCGUGUGAAAGCCCCCGGCUCAACUGGGGAGGGUCACGCGAUACUGAUCGACUCGAAGGCAGGAGAGGGUAGUGGAAUUCCCGGUGUAGUGGUGAAAUGCGUAGAUAUCGGGAGGAACACCAGUGGCGAAGGCGACUACCUGGCCUGUUUCUUGACGCUGAGGCGCGAAAGCUAGGGGAGCAAACGGG